UACGUAGGGUGCAAGCGUUGUCCGGAAUUAUUGGGCGUAAAGAGCUCGUAGGCGGUCUGUCGCGUCGGCUGUGAAAACUCGGGGCUCAACUCCGAGCUUGCAGUCGAUACGGGCAGGCUAGAGUUCGGCAGGGGAGACUGGAAUUCCCGGUGUAGCGGUGAAAUGCGUAGAGAUCGGGAGGAACACCAGUGGCGAAGGCGGCUACCUGGACCAGCACUGACACUGAGGCACGAAAGCGUGGGGAGCAAACAGG
rnacentral:rRNA from 1 species